ACCGUGCCUGCCUGUAGCUGCCUGUAGUUCCAGCUACGCUGGAGGUCGAGGUGGGAGGAUCGCUUGAGCCCAAGAGUUCCAGACCAGCCUGGUCAACAUAUCAAGACCCCAUCUCAA
rnacentral:sRNA from 1 species